rnacentral:rRNA from 1 species
UACAGAGGGGGCAAGCGUUGUUCGGAAUUACUGGGCGUAAAGGGCGCGUAGGCGGCCUUCUAAGUCGAACGUGAAAUCCCCGGGCUCAACCCGGGAACUGCGUCCGAUACUGGAAGGCUUGAAUCCGGGAGAGGGAUGCGGAAUUCCAGGUGUAGCGGUGAAAUGCGUAGAUAUCUGGAGGAACACCGGUGGCGAAGGCGGCAUCCUGGACCGGCAUUGACGCUGAGGCGCGAAAGCGUGGGGAGCAAACA